rnacentral:rRNA from 1 species
UACGGAGGGUGCAAGCGUUAAUCGGAAUUACUGGGCGUAAAGCGUGCGCAGGCGGUUUGGUAAGUCUGUUGUGAAAUCCCCGAGCUCAACUUGGGAAUUGCAAUGGAUACUGGCAGGCUCGAGUAUGGUAGAGGAAGGUGGAAUUCCCGGUGUAGCAGUGAAAUGCGUAGAGAUCGGGAGGAACACCAGUGGCGAAGGCGGCCUUCUGGACCAAUACUGACGCUCAUGCACGAAAGCGUGGGGAGCAAACAGG